rnacentral:lncRNA from 1 species
CGACUGGGCAGCUUCGUGAUGAGUCACCGUCGGAGGUUGCAGUCGUCGGAGCUCUGGCGAGGAGGACCAGCAGCGAGCAGGGGGACGUUGGACACCGAGCGGACUGGCAGCAACAGCAGGUCGCGGGUUGUGAGCUGCAGGCGUCGGGUCGCUGGUUGGAGCGGCACGGGUGGAGCAACAAGCAGCUUUGCUCGGAGGAGGCUUGGAGCGAAGCUAUUGGGCAUCGGGGCAGAGGUGGCGCGAGGAUCGGCGACGAAUGGACCAGGAGCAGCGUCGGGGUCGUCGUGGAUCGGCAUAGCGGUGGCUUCGUCGAGCUAGUGGAGCGACUCGGCAACAGCAGCGGCUUUGCGGGAGGAUCAGAGGCGGAGAGGGACAGGCUGAGGGCUGAAUCACGGCAGGAGUGGCGGUAGGGAUCGGUGCGGCAGCAGACCGGUGGUACGGGCUCCUGUGGCGUCGGGCAAUAGCAGAAGGUGAAACUGCAGAGGCGUUGGGUCGCGGCUGCUGCAGGGGAGCGACUGUGUGGCCGGGGGAAGAAAAACAGCUGGUGUCACAAGGGUUCAAGCGCGGUGGCUGGCGGAGAUUUAGUGGGGCGUCUGUUUCGGGUUGCAGCUCCGGUGCAGCAGAUUGGGCAGUGGUGGAGCAGGGACGUCAUUGCUGGUGUAGUGGGUAGGGAUCGACGUGGCUUCAGCAGACGACGACGAAGGAGAUUGGCAGAGGUGGGGGCGUCGACAAGGCAGGGCCGGCGGUGGCGGAUGCCAAGUGACGCUGCUGCUCAAAGGUCGGUGAGGGGCACACCGAAGAGGAGAAACAGUAGAUUUUGUUUUUUUUCCCUUUUCUUCCUCUCUCCUCUGCUCUCCUCUCUCUCGCUGUUCGCACGUCCCUUCCUCUCUGCCCCCUUUCACUUUUCACUUUUCACCUUUUUUUUCCUCUUUCAAAGAUCGAAAGAAAAACCUCCAAAAGUCC